UAAGUACUUUACAAACUUUAUCUCAUUGUAUCCUCACAAUACUCCUAAGAAGGAGUGGGUGCUAAUAUUAUCCUCAUUUUACAGAUGAGGAAACUGAGGCAAAUAGUUAAAUGACUUGCCCAGGGUCAUAUAGCUCAUAAGUGUCUAGGCUCAGAUUUAAACUCAGGUCUACCUGACUCCAGGUUUAGCACUUUAUCUACUGUAUCACUCCUAGAUGUAUUAUAAAAUGCUUUGCAAACUUUAAGGCACUCUUUGAAUGUCAGUUAUUAUCAGUAUUAUUACUUAAAUUCAAAUUAAUCUGUGAUCUCAAAAAUGUGGGUAAUCCCUCUAAUAAAGUGGAUCGCAGCUCAUCAAUAUCUAUUCAUGAUGCUUUUGGUCAUUUUUAACAUGGAUUUUAGCUUAAUGAAUUAAAUUUUUAAUUUUCACAGUGCUAAAACAUUUUUUGUACUUUUAAUGUUGAUUUUAUUUUAAUUAUUUUUAACAAUAUUAAAACAUUUUUGGUUUAUUUAAUUUAACAUUGAAAUAUUAGAAAAGAACCUCCAGUUCUCCAUUCAAAACAGGCAUUUUAACUGCCCAUGAGAUGUUUGUCAUUAUACUCUUUUAAUUGUUCCUGCUUCAAAAUUAUGAAUCACCAAAUUAGAAGGUGGUGAUUAAACUUUUAUUUGAGUAGAGGUAGAAGUAACAGGAAAUGGGCUAGUUGGGAAAGGAUGGAAUAUAAUUACUAGAAACUUUCUUUGAUCCUUGAGUUAUCAGGGUUCUCUCUCUCUUCAAUUCACCGUGUUUUUAUUCUUCCGGAUAGAUUGUGAGCUCCCAGUGGGCAAGAAAUGUCUUAUUAUUUUCUUUGUAUCUUAGCAUCCACCACAGUGCCUUGGACAUACUGUAGGUGCUUUUAACAAAUGUUUGUUGGAUUAAGUUGGUUUGAAUUCAGUUGAAGUGAACUGGAAUUAAAUUGAAUUGAAAGAAUUGAAAUCAGAGGCAUUGGGCUCCAGCCCAACCUGUGGUCUUCAGGGUUGCCUUCUCUCACCAGUGGAAGCAGCAGAACAUUGACCAGUUGUUUUCCUAUUUAUUAGCUCAUCUUUCUCUUCAAGAGGAAAGGUCAGUCAUAUUGUUGACUCAGGUAGAAUCUGUUCCCCUGAUCCAGAGAGUGGACAAUGUCAGCUGCCCUGACUCUCUCUCUUUUGCCAGAGUGAAGUAAAGACCUGACCUGUUGAAUGCAUUGAGGUGUACAGCUGGGUGGUACCUCAAAAAGAAAAAAAAUCUCUGAUGUUCCAAGGCAAUAUGGUGCCAUCCACAAGUGCUGGACUUGCAACUGGGAGACAUCAGUUCCGACCCUUGCUUUGCGACCCCAAGGCUUCGGUUUUGCCGUCUUUAAAUCUUGCUCUACCUACCUCACAGGGUUGUUGUGAGGAAAGUGUUUUAUAAAACUUAAAAGUCUGUAGAAAAGCCUCCUGCCCAAGAAGGGCUGUAUGUACUUUGUCAUUUUUUUCUUGAUUGAUUUUUGUUGUCACUAUAGGGGUUUCCCUGCCUCUCAGCUACCAUUACCUGCUCUUGCAAGAUCCCGCCUCGCUCUGCAGAGCCACAGGCCUGACUAGUCCUUAUCUCUCCCCACACCAACAUGGGGGAGCACAAAGUGUCUCAUGUAGGCAACCCUACAUUUAUGUCACGUGGACCUUCCCACUUAUUCAGGCUCCGGGAGAAGCUCAUCCCAAGCUUUACCUUGAUUAUAGCUGUAUCCAUUUCCUUGGCACAAUGAGUGCCUCUGGAGGCAGAGACUUUUGGUUCAAAUCCCACUUCUCAUGAUAUAUAAUCUGGGAUUCGUUUUUAAAAGAGGAGCAUGGGCUAAAUGGCCACUGGGGACCCCUUAUAUUGCUAAAGCUGUGUUUUAGGCAGUUUCACACAGAGAAUAGAACCAGAAAAAUCUGUAUUCCAGUCCCAUCUCUAACAAACAUUGGCCCAAUUUUCCCAAUCUGGUGUUAGAAAUAGGUUCUAAUCUGUACAUAAGGAUCCCUUCUGACCACAUAUUAACUUUAAAUAUUAUAUUUUAUUGUAUUUUAAAUUAUUUUGCUAAAUAUUUCCCAAUUGCAUUUUAAUCUGGUUUGGGCCCACUUGGGAGAGGGCAGUGCAUUUGAAAACUAAUCUAAGCAGCGGGCAAAGACUAAAUUGCCAAGGAAGUGCUAAACUGAAUUGGUAAAGAGUUUCUUCAUCUGAGAGUUUCCUCUACAUGUGAAAUCACAAGUCAUAUCCCUACCCUUGUCCCUGUGAUCCCUGUAAUCAGCCAGAAUUGUGAGCUCCAAGGCUUAUUUUAUGCCUGUAUCCUUGGACUUUGUUCCUGACUGUGCCCUCCAUCCUGAAUCAGACCUGAC
ensembl:lncRNA